rnacentral:rRNA from 1 species
GUAGGUGGCAAGCGUUGUCCGGAAUUAUUGGGCGUAAAGCGCGCGCAGGUGGUUCUUUAAGUCUGAUGUGAAAGCCCCCGGCUCAACCGGGGAGGGUCAUUGGAAACUGGGGAACUUGAGUGCAGGAGAGGAAAGUGGAAUUCCACGUGUAGCGGUGAAAUGCGUAGAUAUGUGGAGGAACACCAGUGGCGAAGGCGACUUUCUGGCCUGUAACUGACACUGAGGCGCGAAAGCGUGGGGAGCAAACAGGAUUAGAUACCCUGGUAGUCCACGCCGUAAACGAUGAGUGCUGAGUGUUGGGGGGGUUUCCCGCCCCUCAGUGCUGCAGCUAACGCAUUAAGCACUCCGCCUGGGGAGUACGGUCGCAAGACUG